rnacentral:rRNA from 1 species
GACGAACGCUGGCGGCGUGCUUAACACAUGCAAGUCGAGCGGUAAGGCUCCUUCGGGGGUACACGAGCGGCGAACGGGUGAGUAACACGUGAGUAAUCUGCCCUUCACUUCGGGAUAGCUUCGGGAAACCGAAAUUAAUACCGGAUACGACCAGCCUCUGCAUGGGGUGUUGGUGGAAAGUUUUUUCGGUGGGGGAUGUGCUCGCGGCCUAUCAGCUUGUUGGUGGGGUAAUGGCCUAGCCGGGCUUCGACGGGUAGCCGGCCUGAGAGGGUGACCGGCCACACUGGGACUGAGACACGGUCCAGACUCCUACGGGAGGCAGCAGUGGGGAAUAUUGCACAAUGGGCGCAAGCCUGAUGCAGCAACGCCGCGUGAGGGACGACGGCCUUCGGGUUGUAAACCUCUUUUAGUAGGGAAGAAGCGAAAGUGACGGUACCUGCAGAAAAAGCACCGGCUAACUACGUGCCAGCCGCCGCUGUAACAC